CUGCUUUUUGGAACAAACUGACAAACAAACAUUUGCUGCUGGAUCGGUGUAAAAAGUAUGUGCUUGAUUCCUAACCACGAUGGAUUGAAGAGACAAAAGAAAAGAGCAGUGAGUCACGUUUUAUGUACUUUUUCAAUACCUUUUAAAUGCAACCAGUUCUACUUUCACCUUCAUAGUUCAACUAAUAUGGAACUCCAGAACAGAUUUGUUCUCAUGCAGGUGCUGGCAGGACACUUUAUAUUCACUGCAGCAACUGAGAGCACUGCCUGUUCUCACUGUAUCUCCCAGGCCACAAUCGCGGGUGUCAGAUGUGUUUUUGCUAACAAGACUGUGGAACUGGUGAGCAGAGAGCUUUCCCACCCUUCCCUUCUCCCAAGCAUCCGUCAAGCCGCAGUUUCAGAGCAGCCACACCCUUCUUGUUAUUGUUGAAGUCAAAUAUUAAAGGUCUGGCACUGGACUCAUUGACGUUCAGUGUUAGAGCUCCCGAAGCAGUAACAUUCUCAACACUCCUGGAUUUUCUCUAGUCACUUCAGCUCUUCCUGCAAUUUAUCACUGACUCCAUUGGCUGUGAUCUAUAGUUUCUGCCAUUGACAUCAUUGUACCUGAUGAGGCACAUAUGAAGAAUUCUGAACUAAUGGGAUGCCUAUUGGUGACUGACUGUGCUCUUAUAUCUUCGGUUGAGAUGCAGCAUUAAAAAUACUGAGUGCUGAAAAACAAUAAUGUUGGAGGAAUACAAUUGCCAAGUAAAAUAAAACAGAAUUAAACGUAAACUUCCACCAUAGAGCUCCCAUGUGUUGGUAUAUGAGCCUUAGGAGAGGAGUAG
ensembl:lncRNA